CUAGAUCAAUUUGGCGUUGUUGCC
rnacentral:siRNA from 1 species